rnacentral:lncRNA from 1 species
GCGAUAUUAUGCUUGAUUUGCGAUGUUUUGUAGUAUUUUGGAGAAAGUGAAGAAUGGAUUUGAAGAUAAAGGUCGUAGACUCAAGAAAAGAGAAGAAAAUUGAAGAUUUGAAGAGUUAACGCACCGCCCGGCGGUAACUUACACCGUCGGGCGGUCUAGGGUGAGGAGUAGACACCUGGCGUUGGCGCUGGGCAGUUUUGAGGGAAACCGUCGGGCGAUAGACCCC